rnacentral:ncRNA from 1 species
CCAGUUGUUCACAACUUUGUCUGCAUCUAGAGUCACUUGUGAAGUUUUUAGAAGAAAUACUAAUAAAAUUAACAUCUUAGAAAUUUGUACUUAAUUGAUCAAUGGUGGGGAGGUCAGAAACCUCCAUGGAGCAGAAGGGCAAAAGCUUGCUUGAUCCUGAUUUUCAGUAUGAAUACAUACUGUGAAAUCAGGGCCUCAUGAUCCUUCUGACCUUUUGGAUUUUAAGCAGGAGGUGUCAGAAAAUUCACCACAGGGAUAACUGGCUUGUGGUGGCCAAGUGUUCAUAGUGAUGUCGCUUUUUGAUCCUUUAAUGUUGACUCUUCCUAUCAUUGUGAAGCAGAAUUCACCAAGUGUUGGAUUUUUCACUCACUAAUAGGGAGUGUGAGCUGGGUUUAGACCGUCAUGAGGUGGUC